rnacentral:rRNA from 1 species
CAGCAGCCACGGGAAUACGGAGGGUGCAAGCGUUAAUCGGAAUUACUGGGCGUAAAGCGCACGCAGGCGGUCUGACAAGUCAGAUGUGAAAUCCCCGGGCUUAACCUGGGAACUGCAUUUGAAACUGUCAGGCUGGAGUCUUGUAGAGGGGGGUAGAAUUCCAGGUGUAGCGGUGAAAUGCGUAGAGAUCUGGAGGAAUACCGGUGGCGAAGGCGGCCCCCUGGACAAAGACUGACGCUCAGGUGCGAAAGCGUGGGGAGCAAACAGGAUUAGAGACCCCGGUAGUCCCUGUCUCUUAUAC